UCUCGUCUUUGUAUUGACUGUGGUUAUACUUAUGUCGACGAGUGCCACAUUCCACAAACCGCUUAAAAUGAGUGGCGCCUUCAGUUGACAUUGAAAAUGGUACGGUUUGUUGUUGGGGAAGUAGUCCAUAUUUUUGUCACUAUUAAUGAUUACGUAGUGUGUCAUGUUAGCUAUCUGUAACGUCUUUGAUGUCUUUCUCGGGAAUCCAUUGAUUAUAUUUAGGGGGCCAUCCUUCAAAUUGAACCAACCACUGAAUCUGACCUUUUCUUUUACGCUGACGUAUUUUCUUCUCUAUAAACCAUAGAGUUUUUUCAUCUUUUUCGACUCGUUGUAAUUCUGAUUGAUAAAAGUUUCCCUGUAUGGUAUCUCCUAGAAAAUCUAUUAAUUGAUAUAGCGGUAUUCCUUGCAUUAAAACUCUUUUGUUUAUCUUAAAUAUCUCUGAAGACCACUGCUGCUGAUAGGCACGCUUAAACACCUGUUUCAUGUGUGAAAUACGAACUAAACUUCCUAUCUUGAAUUGGUUCAACCCAGAGAAAGCGACUGAAUACAUCGAUCACCAUCAACAAGAACUUUACACCUGAAUUUUGCUUCGACAAUGACGUCAUGUCCAGUAAAUCGGUAUCAUAUUGUUCGAAUGGUUCUCCAACUUCUACACGUGCACGUUUAAAUGAACGUUUUACAGGCUUUUGUAGACUGUAAUCGUCGAGACUUUGAAUGUAUCGUCUGAUUUUGUAUAAACCGGGAGAGUUAUGUCCCUGUGAUUUCAGAAUUUGAUGUACUUUUGCUGGACUUGAGAAUGUCCCUCCGUUAUUAAAAUUAUAAUAAAUGUCA